GCGGUUGUGGUGGAAUUGGUAGACACGUACGCUUGAGGGGCGUAUGACGCAAGUUGUGGGGGUUCGAGUCCCCCCAACCGCACCA
rnacentral:tRNA from 1 species